AUUGAACGCUGGCGGCAGGCCUAACACAUGCAAGUCGAACGAGUGGCGGACGGGUGAGUAAUGUCUGGGAAACUGCCCGAUGGAGGGGGGUAACUACUGGAAACGGUAGCUAAUACCGCAUACCAUCGGAUGUGCCCAGAUGGGAUUAGCUAGUAGGUGGGGUAACGGCUCACCUAGGCGACGAUCCCUAGCUGGUCUGAGAGGAUGACCAGCCACACUGGAAAUGAGACACGGGCCAGACUCCUACGUGGGGCAGCGGUGGGGAAUAUUGCAAAAUGGGCGCAAGCCGGAUGCAGCCAUGCCGCGUGUAUGAAGAAGGCAUUCGGGUUGUAAAGUACUUUCAGCGAGGGGGCGUUACUAGAAGAAGAAGCACCGGCUAACUCCGUGCCAGCAGCCGCGGUAAUUC
rnacentral:rRNA from 1 species